UACGUAGGGGGCAAGCGUUGUCCGGAAUCAUUGGGCGUAAAGAGCGUGUAGGCGGCUCGGUAAGUCCGCUGUGAAAGUCCAGGGCUCAACCCUGGAAUGCCGGUGGAUACUGUCGAGCUCGAGUCCGGAAGAGGCGAGUGGAAUUCCUGGUGUAGCGGUGAAAUGCGCAGAUAUCAGGAGGAACACCAAUGGCGAAGGCAGCUCGCUGGGACGGUACUGACGCUGAGACGCGAAAGCGUGGGGAGCAAACAGG
rnacentral:rRNA from 1 species